UUCUUCGGGGCGGGGUGCAAGUCCCCACCGGCGGUAAAGUCCGCGACCACCAUUGGUGAAUGAACCGGUGACACGCAAGUCGUGAAUUCCGGUACCGACAGUAUAGUCUGGAUGUGAGAAGAA
rnacentral:ncRNA from 1 species